CCGUGCUAGACGGGGAGGUAGCGGUGCCCUGUAACCCGCAAUCCGCUACAGCGGGGUUGAAUUCCUGUUAGAGGUAUUGCUGAUGUGAGGCUGGCGUUUGCACGUGGUGUUGACGGCCGGGUCCUUCGCAAUGAACGCUUGUGAACCCGGUCAGGUUCGGAAGAAAGCAGCCGUAAGCAAGAAGGUUCAUGUGCCGGAGGGUAGCCUGGCCUGAGCUAACGACAAGAGUGCCGCUUGGAUCGCAAUCAUCAAUAACAGGUGCACG
rnacentral:SRP_RNA from 1 species